GAUGAACGCUGGCGGCGUGCCUAAUACAUGCAAGUCGAGCGAACGGACGAGAAGCUUGCUUCUCUGAUGUUAGCGGCGGACGGGUGAGUAACACGUGGAUAACCUACCUAUAUGACUUGGAUAACUCCGGGAAACCGGAUCUAAUACCGGAUAAUAUUUUGAACCGCAUGGUUCAAAAGUGAAAGACGGUCUUGCUGUCACUUAUAGAUGGAUCCGCGCUGCAUUAGCUAGUUGGUAAGGUAACGGCUUACCAAGGCAACGAUGCAUAGCCGACCUGAGAGGGUGAUCGGCCACACUGGAACUGAGACACGGUCCAGACUCCUACGGGAGGCAGCAGUAGGGAAUAUUGCGCAAUGGGCGAAAGCCUGACGGAGCAACGCCGCGUGAGUGAUGAAGGUCUUCGGAUCGUAAAACUCUGUUAUUAGGGAAGAACAUAUGUGUAAGUAAAUGUGCACAUCUUGACGGUACCUAAUCAGAAAGCCACGGCUAACUACGUG
rnacentral:rRNA from 1 species